UGCUAACCACACCAAAUCUUAGCAUCAAAGGAGACAUGAAAUCUAAGCAAAACAGAAUUAACGUCCUGCGUAGGUUGAUUCUGAUGCUCGGUAGUUUAUCAGGGUCACCCAAAAAAAUGGAUAAUUCCUCAGAACCAUGAAUGUCAGAGAUAAAAUUUGUUGCCGCCAACUGAAGAGUCAGGAAUCCAACUUGAGCGAGCAAACUACAUUCAGAUCUCAGAACUGAUGAAGCACCGUACACUCCACUACUCCAGUGACUCUCAUCCAUGACCUUGGCGGUUUCCAAACUGAAAUUGCAGAUUAUGCAGAAGCAGCAGCUCCUAGCUCUCCAUCGCGGGGUUCACCGCAGCAGCCAUCCCCCCAUCCAAGGACGAGAUCACCAGACUUUGUGCGUGAGAGCUGCCAGAAGAUAGCAUAGUUCCAACUGGUACCGUGCAAACAGCCCAAACCACUCGCUCACUGGCUCGUCCGCCUCAGGGCGGAUCAACAUAGAACCAAAUGUUCCAAUGAAAAAACAUAAAACUCAAUGUUUAUCUUAUGAACUGUUUGUCAAAGAGCUCUCAAAGAAAGCACAGAAAGCAAACAACAUCUGGUGGAGGAAGUGAAGACAUAAGAUAUACAUGGGCUCCAGCACUAUGCAUGCACUGAUAUAAACAUAUAGAUGAAAAAAAGGACUGAUAUAAACACAUGGAUACAAGAGAACUUAACAUCGAUUACAAUGUGGCAAUAACAAAAGUUACACUAGGAUUUUAAUAGAACAGAAUUUUGAACAACUUGAGAUCAAUGGGCAAACCUAGAUAACCUAAGGUGGUGCAAAUGCAACAUACAUACCAUAUAACUCACCAUCUAUACUAACUCAAUCUACACAUCUAAUAGGCAAUGUAAGCUAUCAGCACUCUUUGCAUACAGAUAACAUGCAAGAUGCAUACUGCAAUCACCAAAGCACAUAAAAGGAGAAGAUAAGUCUAAGCAGACAGACCUGGAGUAUAGGUGGGCGCAUCGAGUUGGUACACACUGGGCAUUCGAGCAAAUCAUUCAAGCCACACAUCGAUGACAAUGCAACAUUGGCUAGCGAUGCCGAUGUAGACCACGGUUUACUUGCAGAGUCUACGUCAAGCCUGAUACCCCCAAUCGACUCAGAAAGCCCAUUGUCAUCUCCACAGUCCGACUCGGGGACUACAGUCACAAUGCUGCUUCCCGGUGCCAUUGUAAAAAGCUCCUUUCAGGUCCGGAAGUAGUACAAACCAUCAGCAGCCCACCACUCCAUUGUUUUCCUGCUAACCACACCAAAUCUUAGCAUCAAAGGAGACAUGAAAUCUAAGCAAAACAGAAUUAACGUCCUGCGUAGGUUGAUUCUGAUGCUCGGUAGUUUAUCAGGGUCACCCAAAAAAAUGGAUAAUUCCUCAGAACCAUGAAUGUCAGAGAUAAAAUCUGUUGCCGCCAACUGAAGAGUCAGGAAUCCAACUUGAGCGAGCAAACUACA
rnacentral:lncRNA from 1 species